rnacentral:rRNA from 1 species
UACAUCAGGUAGUAACAGAGGGUUCGAUUCUGGCUCAGAUUGAACGCCAUAUGCUUACACAUGCAAGUCGAACGCAGCACGGACUUCGGUCUGGUGGCGAGUGGCGAACGGGUGAGUAAUGUAUCGGAACGUGCCUAGUAGCGGGGGAUAACUACGCGAAAGCGUAGCUAAUACCGCAUACGCCCUUCGGGAAAGGGGGACCUUUCGGGCCUCGCACUAUUAGAGCGGCCGAUAUCGGAUUAGCUAGUUGGUGGGGUAACGGCUCACCAAGGCGACGAUCCGUAGCUGGUUUGAGAGGACGACCAGCCACACUGGGAUUGAGACACGGCCCAGACUCUACGGAGGCAGCAGUGGGGAAUUUUGGACAAUGGGGGAAACCCUGAUCCAGCCAUCCCGCGUGUGCGAUGAAGGCCUUCGGGUUGUAAAGCACUUUUGGCAGGAAAGAAACGGCACGGGAUAAUACCCCCGUGCAACUGACGGUACCUGCAGAAUAAGCACCGGCGACCCACGUGCCAGCAGCCGCGGUAAUACGUAGGGUGCAAGCGUUAAUCGGAAUUACUGGGCGUAAAGCGUGCAGGCGGUUCGAAAGAAAGAUGUGAAAUCCCAGAGCUUAACUUUGAACUACAUUUUUGAACUACCGAGCUAGGAGUGUGUCAGAGGAGGUGGAAUUCCGCGUAGCAGAAAUGCGAUAUGCGGAGGAACACCGAUGGCGAAGGCAGCCUCCUGGGAUAACACUGACGCUCAUGCACGAAAGCGUGGGGAGCAAACAGGAUUAGAUACUCCUGGUAGUCCACGCCCUGGAACGAUGUCAACUAGCUGUUGGGGCCUCACCAGCGCAGCUAACGCGUGAAGUUGACCGCCUGGGGAGUACGGUCGCAAGAUUAAAACUCAAAGGAAUUGACGGGGACCCGCACAAGCGGUGGAUGACAGGAUUAAUUCGAUGCAACGCGAAAAACCUACCUACCCUUGACAUGUCUGGAAUCCCGAAGAGAUUUGGGAGUGCUCGCAAGAGAACCGGAAAUUCGCAGCUGUAUGGCUGUCGUCAGCCUGUGUCGUGAGAUGUUGGGUUAGUCCCGCAACGAGCGCAACCCUUGUCAUUAGUUGCUACGAAAGGGCACCUGCAUCGAGACUGCCGGUGACAAACCGGAGGAAGGUGGGGAUGACGUCAAGUCCCUCAUGGCCCUUAUGGGUAGGGCUUCACACGUCAUACAAUGGUCGGGACAGAGGGUCGCCAACCAUGAGUGGGGAGCCAAUCCCAGAAACCCGAUCGUAGUCCGGAUCGCAGUCUGCAACUCGACUGCGUGAAGUCGGAAUCGCUAGUAAUCGCGGAUCAGCAUGUCGCGGUGAAGGAGCCGUUCCCGGGUCUUGUACACACCGCCCGUCACACCAUGGGAGUGGGUUUUACUCAGAAGUAGUUAGCCUAACCGUAAGGAGGGCGAUUACCACGGUAGGAUUCAUGACUGGGGUGAAGUCGUAAAUAAGGUAG